rnacentral:lncRNA from 1 species
UGCACGCUUAUGGGGUCUGCAUGCUUAUGGGGCUGGGCACUGAUGGGGGUUGCGAAUAUGGGGUUGCAUGGAGGAGUUGCACGCUUAUGGGGUUGCAGUCUGGCUUUGCACACUUAUGAGGUUGCACACUUAUGAGUUUGCACACACUUAAGGGGUGGUGGGGAUGGGUUUUGCACGGGGAUUUGGCUUAUGGGGUCACAACGAUGGGAUUUGCACGGGGAUUUGGCACAGAUGGGGUCACAACAAUGAGACUUGCACGGGGAUUUGGCACACUUAUAGGAUCAUAAUGAUGGGUUUUUGCACGGGGAUUUGGCUCAUGGGGUCACAAUGACAGGAUUUGCACGGGGAUUUGGCACACUUAUGGGGUCCAGGGCUGGGAUUUGCACGGGGAUUUGGCUCACAUGGGGUCACAACAAUGAGACUUGCACGGGGAUUUGGCACACUUAUAGGAUCAUAAUGAUGGGUUUUUGCACGGGGAUUUGGCUCAUGGGGUCACAAUGAUGGGAUUUGCACGGGGACUUGGCACACAUGGGGUCACAACGAUGGGAUUUGCACGGGGAUUUGGCACACAUGGGGUCACAACAUGGCAUUUGCACGGGCAUUUGUCACACUUACGGGAUCGUAAUGAUGGGAUUUGCACGGGGAUUUGUCACACUUACGGGAUCGUAAUGAUGGGAUUUGCACGGGGAUUUGUCUCAUGGGGUCACAACAUGGGAUUUGCACGGGGAUUUGGCACACAUGGGGUCACAACAAUGGGAUUUGCAUGGGGAUUUCUCACACUUAUGGGGUCACAACGAUGGGAUUUGCACGGGGAUUUGGCUCAUGGGGUCACAACAUGGGGUUUGCACGGGGAUUUGGCACACAUGGGGUCACAAUGAUGGGAUUUGCACGGGGAUUUGUCACACUUACGGGGCGGUGCUGAGCACCAAGGCGAUCCCACCACCCCAUGGCCCCCAUUUCUCCCCAUCCGCAGGCAAUGCCGCUCCUGAAGAGACCCCCGAAGGAAGGGGGGGCCGGGGGGGGGGACGAGGAGGACGGGGAUCCCUUCGUGUCCCACCCCGAGAGCCGCUACCGCCGUAGGGCCACCCUUGAGCGCCUUGUAGGGCUGACGGCCUUCGGGCGCCCCAAAAGACCCAAAGGGGGAGAUGGGGACGGGGAGGGGGACGGGCAGCGGGGUCGGGGCCAGCGGCGUCGCUCGGAGGAUUUUGGGGUCCUGUUGAGGUUCCCGGGGAGGAGGAAAGGAAGCGUGGAACCCAUCGGGGACAGGACGGGGUGCAAACGCGGGUCGUUGCUGAGGAUGGCCCUGGGGACAAAAGGAAGGAGGGACGGAGCCGAGAAGGGGACGGCGGCGGCGGCAGGGGAUGGGGAUGCGGCCACGGAUGGGGACGGGGACGAGGAGGGGAGGAAGAGCGAGGGGAGCAGAAAGGAGCCGCUGUCCGGUGAGUGGGGUGUGGGGUUGGGGACGUUGGGAUGGACACUGGGACAUGGGGACGUUGGAUGGGGUCGUCGGGAUGGGAUAUUGGGUUGGGAUGUUGGGACAUGGGACAUUGGGAUGGGGACAUUGGGUUGGGACGUUGGGAUAUGGGGUCAUUGGAUGGGGUCAUUGGGAUGGACGUUGGGAUGGGACAUUGGGACAUGGGGACGUUGGUUGGGGUCUUUGGGAUGGGCAUUGGGUCGGGAUGUUGGGUUCAGGACAUUGGGAUGGGAUGUUGGGGUGGGAUGUUGGUAUGGGGACUUUGGGUUGGGCCAUUGGGAUGGGAUGUUGGGAUGUAGGGACAUUGGAUGGGGACAUUGGGAUGGGGAUGCGGCCACGGAUGGGGACGGGGACGAGGAGGGGAGGGAGAGCGAGGGGAGCAGAAAGGAACCGCUGUCCGGUGAGUGGGGUGUGGGGUUGGGGAUGUUGGGAUGGGGUUGUCGGGAUGGGAUAUUGGGUUGGGAUGUUGGGACAUGGGGACGUUGGAUGGGGUCUUUGGGAUGUGGACAUUGGGAUGGGCGUUGGGUUGGGCAUUGGGUUCAGGACAUUGGGAUGUGGGGGCAUUGGGAUGGGCAUUGAGUUGGGACGUUGGGAUGGGGUCGUUGGGAUGGGAUAUUGGGAUGGACAUUAGGAUAUGGGGACGUUGGAUGGGGUCUUUGGGAUGGGGAUAUUGGGAUGGGCAUUGGGUUGGGCCAUUGGGAUGGGAUGUUUGGAUAUGGCGAUGUUGGGAUGGGACCUGGGGACAUUGGAUGGGGUCUUUGGGAUGGGGACAUUGGGAUGGGCAUUGGGUUGGGCUUUGGGUCCAGGACAUUGGGAUGUGGGGGCAUUGGGGUGGGAUGUUGGGGUGGGAUGUUGGUAUGGGGCCAUUGAGAUGGAGAUUGGGUUGGAAUAUUGGAAUGUCGGGACAUUGGAUGGGGUCAUUGGGAUGGGAUCACUGGGAUGGGGACGUUGGAUGGGGUCGUCGGGAUGGGAUAUUGGGUUGGGAUAUAGAGACAUAGGAUAUUGGGAUGAGAACGUUGGGUUGGGGUAUUGGGAUAUGGGGUCAUUGGAUGGGGUCAUUGGGAUGGACGUUGGGAUGGGGUCAUUGGGACAUGGGGUCAUUGGAUGGGGUCAUUGGGAUGGGCAUUGGGUUUGGAUGUUGGGUUCAGGAAAUUGGGAUGGGGCAUUGGGAUGGGAUGUUGGUAUGGGGACUUUGGGACAUGGAGACGUUGGAUGGGGUCUAUGGGAUGGGGACAUUGGGAUGGACAUUGUGUUGGGCCAUUGGGAUGGGAUGCUGGGAUAUGGGGAUGUUGGGAUGGGACUUGGGGAUGUUGGAUGGGGUCUUUGGGAUGGGGCCGUUGGGAUGGGCGUUGGGUUGGGAUACUGGGUUAUAGGGUCAUUGGAUGGGGUCAUUGGGAUGGGACAUUGGGACAUGGAGACAUUGGGAUGGGUCUCUGAGACAUGGGGACAUUGGGAUGGGGACAUUGGGAUGGGACGUUGGGAUAUGGGGAUACUGGGAUAUGGGGAUAUUGGAUGGGAUUAUUGGGAUGGAACUUUGGGAUAUGGGAUCAUUGGGAUGGGGCUUUAGGAUAUGGGAUCA